UCCAGGGUAGCCUAGUUGACAAUGGCAUCUGCCCGGUAAGCGGAACGUUGUGGGUUCGAUUCCCGCCCCUGGAC
rnacentral:tRNA from 1 species